rnacentral:rRNA from 1 species
GACGAACGCUGGCGGCGUGCCUAAUACAUGCAAGUCGAGCGAGACUCUUCGGAGUCUAGCGGCGGACGGGUGAGUAACACGUGGGCAACCUGCCUGUAAGACUGGGAUAACACCGGGAAACCGGUGCUAAUACCGGAUAAUCCUUUUCCUCUCAUGAGGCAAAGCUGAAAGUCGGUUUCGGCUGACACUUACAGAUGGGCCCGCGGCGCAUUAGCUAGUUGGUGAGGUAACGGCUCACCAAGGCGACGAUGCGUAGCCGACCUGAGAGGGUGAUCGGCCACACUGGGACUGAGACACGGCCCAGACUCCUACGGGAGGCAGCAGUAGGGAAUCCUCCACAAUGGACGAAAGUCUGAUGGAGCAACGCCGCGUGAGCGAUGAAGGCCUUCGGGUCGUAAAGCUCUGUUGUUAGGGAAGAACAAGUACCGGAGUAACUGCCGGUACCUUGACGGUACCUAACCAGAAAGCCACGGCUAACUACGUGCCAGCCGCCGCGGUAAGAC